GUGGGGAAUAUUGGACAAUGGGCGAAAGCCUGAUCCAGCCAUGCCGCGUGUGUGAAGAAGGUCUUCGGAUUGUAAAGCACUUUAAGUUGGGAGGAAGGGCAUUAACCUAAUACGUUAGUGUUUUGACGUUACCGACAGAAUAAGCACCGGCUAACUUCGUGCCAGCAGCCGCGGUAAUACGAAGGGUGCAAGCGUUAAUCGGAAUUACUGGGCGUAAAGCGCGCGUAGGUGGUUCAGUAAGUUGGAAGUGAAAUCCCCGGGCUCAACCUGGGAACUGAUUUCAAAACUGCUGAGCUAGAGUACGGUAGAGGGUGGUGGAAUUUCCUGUGUAGCGGUGAAAUGCGUAGAUAUAGGAAGGAACACCAGUGGCGAAGGCGACCACCUGGACUGAUACUGACACUGAGGUGCGAAAGCGUGGGGAGCAAACAGGAUUAGAUACCCCUGUAGUCC
rnacentral:rRNA from 1 species